rnacentral:rRNA from 1 species
GACGUAGGAGGCGAGCGUUAUCCGGAUUCACUGGGCGUAAAGCGCAUGUAGGCGGUUGCACAAGUCCGUUGUUAAAGCCCCUGGCUCAACUGAGGAACUGCACGGGAGACUGUCGGGCUUGAGUUCGGGAGAGGGAAGCGGAAUUCCGGGUGUAGCGGUGAAAUGCGUAGAUAUCCGGAGGAACACCGGUGGCGAAGGCGGCUUCCUGGACCGACACUGACGCUGAGGCGCGAAAGCUAGGGGAGCAAACGGG